rnacentral:rRNA from 1 species
ACAGCAGUAGCCGCGGUAAUACAGAGGGUGCAAGCGUUAAUCGGAAUUACUGGGCGUAAAGCGCGCGUAGGUGGUUUGUUAAGUUGGAUGUGAAAUCCCCGGGCUCAACCUGGGAACUGCAUCCAAAACUGGCAAGCUAGAGUAUGGUAGAGGGUGGUGGAAUUUCCUGUGUAGCGGUGAAAUGCGUAGAUAUAGGAAGGAACACCAGUGGCGAAGGCGACCACCUGGACUGAUACUGACACUGAGGUGCGAAAGCGUGGGGAGCAAACAGGAUUAGAGACCCCAGUAGUCCCUGUCUCUUAUAC